rnacentral:rRNA from 1 species
UGGGGAAUUUUGGACAAUGGGCGAAAGCCUGAUCCAGCAAUGCCGCGUGUGUGAAGAAGGCCUUCGGGUUGUAAAGCACUUUUGUCCGGAAAGAAAUCCUUGGCUCUAAUACAGUCGGGGGAUGACGGUACCGGAAGAAUAAGCACCGGCUAACUACGUGCCAGCAGCCGCGGUAAUACGUAGGGUGCAAGCGUUAAUCGGAAUUACUGGGCGUAAAGCGUGCGCAGGCGGUUUGCUAAGACCGAUGUGAAAUCCCCGGGCUCAACCUGGGAACUGCAUUGGUGACUGGCAGGCUAGAGUAUGGCAGAGGGGGGUAGAAUUCCACGUGUAGCAGUGAAAUGCGUAGAGAUGUGGAGGAAUACCGAUGGCGAAGGCAGCCCCCUGGGCCAAUACUGACGCUCAUGCACGAAAGCGUGGGGAGCAAACAGGAUUAAAUACCCUGGUAGUCCACGCCCUAAACGAUGUCAACUAGUUGUUGGGGGAUUCAUUUUCCUUAGUAACGUAGCUAACGCGUGAAGUUGACCGCCUGGGGGAGUACGGUCGCAAGAUUAAAAACUC